CGUGCUUGGGCGAGAGUAGUACUAGG
rnacentral:ncRNA from 2 species